AGUGUGUAGGAGGGCAUGGAAGUUCGUAACGAAGCUUUUGGUGAAAACCUGGGUGAAACAACUACUAGUGCAGAUCUUGGUGGUAGUAGCAAUUAUUCAAACGAAAUCUUUGAAGACUGAAGUGGAGAAGGGUUCCAUGUGAACAUUGCUUGGACAUGGGUUAGCCGAUCAUAAGGGACAGGGGUGUUUUGCACAUGUAGGCUUUGCUUCGUUUCUUGACAAGGAAUGGGGUUAAUAUCCCCCAGCCAGGACGUGGAUAUUGCAUGGCAACGUAAACUAAUUUGGUGAUGCAAUGGGAAGCCUUGGUAAGCGUUGUCUUUUCUUUUCAAUUGUCUUGUACCCUGAAAUCAGAUUGCCUGGAGAUAGGGUUGGUUGACAAACAAAGCGCCUUGUCUGCUGAGGCGUCUGGUGUGUUUCUAAUUGUCCUUGAAAAACCAAAUGCAUGAUUUAUUCUCACCCCUGGUCGUGCCCAUAACCGCAUCAGGUCUCCAAGGUUAGCAGCCUCUGGUCUCUGGAGCAAAGUAGGUAAGGGAAGUCGGCAAAUUAGAUCCGUAACUUUGG
rnacentral:rRNA from 1 species